rnacentral:misc_RNA from 1 species
CAACCCUCAAGCUUUGCUUGGUAUUGGGCGCCGUCCUCUCUGCGGACGCGCCUCAAAGACCUCGGCGGUGGCUGUUCAGCCCUCAAGCGUAGUAGAAUACACCUCGCUUUGGAGCGGUUGGCGUCGCCCGCCGGACGAACCUUCUGAACUUUUCUCAA